UCAUUGCAUCAGUAAGAUGUCACUGCCACCCAAGUUAAAUGCUGAGUGGAGCCUGUCGCUGAGUCUGCAGGUCGAAGCAGCCACAUGCAAAGCAGCUCUGGGUACCUUAGCUGAUUGCAGGCAUAUGGGAUUUCAUAAAUCAUGGCAGACAUACAGUCCAGAAGAACUUGUUACCAAAAAAGUGUCCUGCAUGAUGGGAUAUGGAUGUAAACAUACCAGCUGAAACUAAAAAAAAAAACAGAAGUACCAAGAGAUUCCACAUGCAAAUUAAAAAAAAUUCUUUUCAAACAAAACUUUUACACAGUAACUGAUUUUUGAAGAAGCAUGCCAGGAAAGAGAAACUGACAGUGAUAGGCAGUAAAGUUCGCGCAGUUUUGCCCAACGCAACAGAUGAGGACUGCAAAACUCGCUUCAUGUCACUGCGGUCGCACUUUUGUGGAGAGAUAAAAAAAUUAGAGCCAGUGAGCAUAGUGGUGCAGGGGCAAGCGAAGUUUACGAGCCUGCUGUGUGGUGGUUCAAUGCUUUAAAGUUUUUGAAGGACUACGUGACACCGAGGAAAACAGCGACAAAUGUUCCAAGCCGUAUGAUACCACAGUCACUCUCAUCAAAUCUAUGUAGCACGACCACUGUCAGUGAUUCUUGUUGCUCCCAAGACUUAUUUACUGUGGAAUGGUCAGAGGGAAGUACACCUGUAUCAACACCAUCACCUCUAAGUGAGCUCAGCAAGAAAGAGGUGUAGGAGGGACACUGAGGAUGGAUUAGCCACCUCAACAUUGUCAGUCUUAAGAGACAUUAAAGUUUCAAUUAGUGGCAGCAAUGAAGAUGACAAGUUUGGGCAGUAUGUUGCUGCUGAAUUGAAGAAAUUGAAAAAUCCAGCAAUUAAGGCUGACGUGAAAUUGAAUGUCAUGAAAUCUAUUAUGAAUGGCAUACGUAAAGAAAUC